AUUGUGACUCCAGACCAUUACCUGGCACUGGGUCUGAUUUCUGGCAUUCCUAUCAGAGCCUGAGUCACAGACAGUACCUUAGACUCUAAGCUUAGGCACCUUGUGCCUUGUUUUUGUGGCUAAGGAUUCUCAGAGUUGUAGGAUGCUGACAAAGUUUAUCCCAAAGGCUCUGAUUGUACUUUCUCCACAAGCUUCAGCAUGGCAGUAUCUCUCACCACUUGUUUUGGUCCAAGGGCAGAAAUGAGCAUCCUGGAAACCAAUCAGUACUUGCUCUCUGAACUGGAAAAGUGCAAAGAGAACUUCCGAGACCUCACAGAGAAAUUCCUGACAUCCAAAGCUACUGCCUACUCCCUGGCCAAUCACCUGCAGAAAUAUAAGUGUGAAGAGUGCAAAGACCUUAUAGAAUCUGUGCUGGAGGAGGAGCUGCAGUUUCAGGAGAGGGAGCUGACCGAAUUGCCAAGGCCAGCAGCAAGGCUCCGGAUACAUGAUCCCUUAAUUCAGGCUCAGGGUGAAGAACUGACCCACUUACGACAGAAGAUACAGGAAGGGAGAGGUGUCUGCUACCUUUUCACCCAGCAUGUGAAGAACACAGUCAAGUCUUUUGAGGGCCUUCUCAGGAACACUGGCAUUGCCUACUACCAGAGACAGAGAUUCUGUGAGCAAAUGGUACAAGGAAGCCAGCUAACAGAGAUCCUUGUCAGAAAACUUGCCACAGAAUCAACCCCAAUGCUCACUAACAAACUGAGAAGAAAAAAAAAGAAUUACCCCCAAGAACAUCUGAGGAAGCACAACAGGGACAGACUUGAAGGCACCUGGGCAGUCCUCUGGUUUUGGAGUAGAGGUAGGACAGGGCUAUUUGUCCUCUCAGAGACUGGAGCAGGUUCUGUGUGUGAGUAGCAAUGGGACAAACAGUCGUGGUCUGGCAACCAGCCUGUAGCAGGAAGGAAGGUUACAACUGGAGAAGUCCAAAGGGCAGCCAGGCAAGUAUUCUUUGAGCUGAGGAACAAAAGACAUUUUAAACUUUUUACUCUGCUUCAGGCAGCUGACGUCUGGUGAUGAUUCACCACAUCAGGAACACCCUGUCCAGUGGGCUCAGGCAAGCCUGCCAGGCCACUUCUCUAAAGACACAACCUGAGGCCUCCUGCAAUAAUUCUCACAGAGCAUUCUGAACAUACAUAAAAUCACAAUGGUAAGAAAAAUGAAGACAGGCAAAAGCCACUGGCUCCCAGGUAACUCUACAUGAUGAAGGGGCUGAUAAUGGACUGACCAAAUCUAGAGAGAAUUCCAGAAGCAAGGACUCAAGAGGUUAAAGGUCCCAGAUCUAGAAAAAGCAGAAACUGCUGAUUGUUCCUUUUUUUGUUGACUGAUUAUACAAUGUGUCCUUUUAAAAAUGGUUCUCUGUUCUCUUUGCAGUUGUUGUAUUGGUUCCUAGUUCCUAGUAAUUUCUCACACUUAGUUAACCAGUCAGUCUUACCGAAAAGUAAACUAACCAGGGAUCCCUGGUUUCUGUAUCUUUAAAACCUAUAGGGUUACAAACCAAAGUGAGAUGCCUAUCUGGUUUCUGCACAGUUGUCCUGAAUUAUGUUGGCAGAUAUUUUAUAGCCAGAAAUUUACCUUGAAAAAUAAAUUGAAACCAUACCAAGUAUUUAGAGCUAGGGGUCUAAAAUCUGCAAAAGCCCUGGGAGGUUGUGUUGUCUCAAGAGCCAGUAUUCAGUGGACCACUCCACAUCAUAUUAAAUAAAAUUUAAACACAGCAUUUUGAAGCCGACAGUAUGGGUUACUGUGUGUGCUGUGUGCCGUGAGCGUAUUGUAGAGUAGUUGUUGAGUCUGCUGCCUUAUCUGUGUGUUAUGAGGUCAAUGCACUGAUCACUUGCUUUUUUCACUUCUAUACUAACUCUAGGCACACUUUACUCCCAGUCAAAAGUGGACUGUAUACUUCCUCUUUGAUGUGAUGGUCCCUUUGGUUUUGGUGCCUCUUCCAUGAGCUUCAGAUCAGAACUAGCUAAGAAGCUGUGGUUCGAGGCUGCCUUGGUUUAAUCCCUUGUCUUGCCUACUUCACCUGGCUCAAGAGGGAAGUCCAGGAGGAAGAAAUGGAUGAAGUCCUGGAGGACUCACUAGAUGAACAGUAUUUGACUCAUUCCAGCUGCCAUGACUCCCACCAGCUUCCCAGCAGCAAUGCCUUCCUCUUUGAUGCACAGGAAGGCCCCUCGGCUGUGGAAAUAGCCAUGAUCAGCAUCUUCACUUCCCAUCUCAUUCCAUGUCCUGGUGGAAUGGCUGCAGAAGAUGAGAUCCAGAGCCAGUGGCAGCACCUGAAGGAGACCCUUUUCAUCAACAACUGCCUGUGAGAAAAGCUAGGACGUCACCACAGCAGCUUUGACGAAGAAAAUGGAUGCACCUCUAACCUCUACAGGCAAAUCAUAGAUUCCAUUGUCCAGCUGUAUAAUGAAAACAGAGUUCUCAGAGAAGAAUACCGGAGACUCCCCCGACUUGCCUGAGUCAAAUUUCCAGAGGCGUGGUGGCUCGCACCUGUAAUCCCAGCACCUUGGGAGGAUCACCUGAGGUCGGGAGUUUGAGACCAGCCGGACCAACAUGGAGGAACCCUGUCUCUACUAAAAAUAAAAAUAAAAAAAAAUUUUUUUAAUUAGCUGGGCGUGGUGGUACCUGCCUGUAAUCACAGCUACUUCGGAGGCUGAGGCAGGAGAAUUGCUUGAACCCUGGGGGUGGAGGUUGUGGUGAGCCAAGAUUGUACCAUUGCACUCCAGCCUGGGCAACAAGAGCAAAACUGUCUCAAAAAAAAAAAGAAAGAAAGAAAGAAAAAGACAAAGAAAGAAAGAAAAUUUUUUUUCACUUUUGCUCAGCCUUUUUAUCAAGGAAAAUCCCAGAAGAACAUUUACUGUAAAAGAACAUUGACUAUAAACAUCUUUCUGUGAAUCCUUAUUUCUGUCCCAGCCACCAUGACCCAAUAAUCUCUAAAACCUGUUAGUGUUCUCCAGAUUGAAGCCUUCCCUCUAACUGCUCCUAAAUCUGUGAUGUAGUGGAAAAGGUUUGAGGCCUUGAUUCUCAUCCCAGGUUUUUCACCUACAGAUCAUAUGGCCUUAGCCUCUUGACACCAUUGUCUCCUUAUGGCCAAAGAUGGAACUGUACUUGGGUGGUAUCUGAGCAUCCUGUUGGCUUUGACAUUCUAGGGCUCUUCCCUUGGUACCACUCUCUUAUUUAAAAGGAAUAGGAUGUGGACUUAGAAGGGUUAUUUCUCUGCAAACUAUCCUCUCUUUCUUAUGACAAGCUAUUUCUGAAUGUGCACAUUUGAGGCUAAGCAGAUCCCUUCCUGGGAGGUGUGAAAGACCUUUAUUUCUCUCCAGAGGAGUAUUACGGAGGUGGUAGAGACCUAGCUAACUCAUCUGCAGCGGCUUUGAGCAAGGCUUUUAGAACCAUAAGGUGGCUGGGGUCCUGUGUCCUACACCACAGGCCAGCUAGUUCAUUUCAGGAGACUUUCUUUUCAAUCUAUUAUUACUAUCUUCUUCUAGACUGUAGUUCACUACCAGAGAUUAUCCACUUAGCUGCACUCAGUUUGCACCUGGCCUGUAUCACCACUUAGCUCUCACUCUAGCCUCAGUUAGGUAUCAGCAAGACCUCACCAAAGAUUAUUGUUUCGUUGUAUGUGUGUGUGUGUGUUUGUUUGUUUCAAGUAGCAACUAAUGUUGGAACUAUGGAAAGUUCUUCUCUACUUUUAACAAAGCUUAGUCACAAACAGUUCCCCAGUUGAUGAGAAAAACUAAAACAACAGAACAAUUGAAAGUCCAAAUCUGAAAGCUCCAUCUCUGAGAAGCAAAUUUUAUAGCCACUCCAGAUUUGUAUUCCAAAUGGAUAGUUUGAUUGUAGAAAUCACAUCCCUUCAGUCUGAAAAUGUGAUAACUGCCCAAGAGACAGUGAUGCCUAGAUCCAUAAAUAAUCCCCUUUCCCCCAACCUAUAUAUAACUGGAGUCAACAGCAGCUAGAGGAAAAUGGCAAGGACUUGGAAUCAAGAUUAAGUUAGAAUAACACUGCUGUAGACUGUUUAUCAGCUCUUCAGCCUAUGUCCAUUUUCCUUGAAGGAUAAGCGUUUAGAAACCUCUGACAAUAAAGUUUA